rnacentral:rRNA from 1 species
GGUUAAGCGACUAAGCGUACACGGUGGAUGCCCUGGCAGUCAGAGGCGAUGAAGGGCGUGCUAAUCUGCGAUAAGCGCCGGUAAGGUGAUAUGAACCGUUAUAACCGGCGAUACCCGAAUGGGGAAACCCAGUGUGAUUCGUCACACUAUCAUUAACUGAAUCCAUAGGUUAAUGAGGCGAACCGGGGGAACUGAAACAUCUAAGUACCCCGAGGAAAAGAAAUCAACCGAGAUUCCCCCAGUAGCGGCGAGCGAACGGGGAGGAGCCCAGAGCCUGAAUCAGCAUGUGUGUUAGUGGAAGUGUCUGGAAAGGCGCGCGAUACAGGGUGACAGCCCCGUACACAAAAGCGCAUGUGCUGUGAGCUCGAUGAGUAGGGCGGGACACGUGGUAUCCUGUCUGAAUAUGGGGGGACCAUCCUCCAAGGCUAAAUACUCCUGACUGACCGAUAGUGAACCAGUACCGUGAGGGAAAGGCGAAAAGAACCCCGGCGAGGGGAGUGAAAAAGAACCUGAAACCGUGUACGUACAAGCAGUGGGAGCACAGGUUUACCUGUGUGACUGCGUACCUUUUGUAUAAUGGGUCAGCGACUUAUAUUCUGUAGCAAGGUUAACCGUAUAGGGGAGCCGUAGGGAAACCGAGUCUUAAC